rnacentral:sRNA from 1 species
GCCGGGCACAGUGGCGCACGCCUGUAAUCCCAAUGGCUCCGGAGGCUGAGGGAGGAGGAUCACAGGUUCAAAGCCAGCCUCAGCAACUUAGUGAGGCUGUGAGCAACCUGGUGAGAGGCUGUCUCUA